rnacentral:rRNA from 1 species
UUACCCACUCCCGGCACGGGGAGGUAGUGACNAAAAAUAACGAUACGGGACUCAUCCGAGGCCCCGUAAUCGGAAUGANUACACUCUAAACCCUUUAACGAGGAUCAAUUGGAGGGCAAGUCUGGUGCCAGCAGCCGCGGUAAUUCCAGCUCCAAUAGCGUAUAUUAAAGUUGUUGCGGUUAAAAAGCUCGUAGUCGAAUUUGUGUCUCGCGCCGCCGGUUCAUCGUCCGCGGUGUUAACUGGCGAGUCGCGAGACCUCCUGCCGGUGGGCUUAGCCCGCGAGGGCGGCCCAACUCAAUCCUGGCGCGGUGCUCUUCAUUGAGUGUCGAGGUGGGCCGGCACGUUUACUUUGAACAAAUUAGAGUGCUUAAAGCAGGCUAAAACUUCGCCUGAAU